rnacentral:rRNA from 1 species
CUAGUAACGGCCGCCAGUGUGCUGGAAUUCGCCCUUCAGGCCUAACACAUGCAAGUCGAGGGGCAGCACAGGUAGCAAUACCGGGUGGCGACCGGCGCACGGGUGAGUAACGCGUAUGCAACUUACCUAUCAGAGGGGGAUAACCCGGCGAAAGUCGGACUAAUACCGCAUGAAGCAGGGGUCCCGCAUGGGGAUAUUUGCUAAAGAUUCAUCGCUGAUAGAUAGGCAUGCGUUCCAUUAGGCAGUUGGCGGGGUAACGGCCCACCAAACCGACGAUGGAUAGGGGUUCUGAGAGGAAGGUCCCCCACAUUGGUACUGAGACACGGACCAAACUCCUACGGGAGGCAGCAGUGAGGAAUAUUGGUCAAUGGGCGUAAGCCUGAACCAGCCAAGUCGCGUGAGGGAUGAAGGUUCUAUGGAUCGUAAACCUCUUUUAUAAGGGAAUAAAGUGGAGGACGUGUCCUUUUUUGUAUGUACCCUAUGAAUAAGCAUCGGCUAACUCCGUGCCAGCAGCCGCGGUAAUACGGAGGAUGCGAGCGUUAUCCGGAUUUAUUGGGUUUAAAGGGUGCGUAGGUGGUGAUUUAAGUCAGCGGUGAAAGUUUGUGGCUCAACCAUAAAAUUGCCGUUGAAACUGGGUUACUUGAGUGUGUUUGAGGUAGGCGGAAUGCGUGGUGUAGCGGUGAAAUGCAUAGAUAUCACGCAGAACUCCGAUUGCGAAGGCAGCUUACUAAACCAUAACUGACACUGAAGCACGAAAGCGUGGGGAUCAAACAGGAUUAGAUACCCUGGUAGUCCACGCAGUAAACGAUGAUUACUAGGAGUUUGCGAUACAAUGUAAGCUCUACAGCGAAAGCGUUAAGUAAUCCACCUGGGGAGUACGCCGGCAACGGUGAAACUCAAAGGAAUUGACGGGGGCCCGCACAAGCGGAGGAACAUGUGGUUUAAUUCGAUGAUACGCGAGGAACCUUACCCGGGUUUGAACGUAGUCUGACCGGAGUGGAAACACUCCUUCUAGCAAUAGCAGAUUACGAGGUGCUGCAUGGUUGUCGUCAGCUCGUGCCGUGAGGUGUCGGCUUAAGU